UGAACGCUGGCGGCGUGCUUAACACAUGCAAGUCGAACGAUGAAGCCCAGCUUGCUGGGUGGAUUAGUGGCGAACGGGUGAGUAACACGUGAGUAACCUGCCCUUAACUCUGGGAUAAGCCUGGGAAACUGGGUCUAAUACCGGAUAGGAGCGUCCACCGCAUGGUGGGUGUUGGAAAGAUUUAUCGGUUUUGGAUGGACUCGCGGCCUAUCAGCUUGUUGGUGAGGUAAUGGCUCACCAAGGCGACGACGGGUGGCCGGCCUGAGAGGGUGACCGGCCACACUGGGACUGAGACACGGCCCAGACUCCUACGGGAGGCAGCAGUGGGGAAUAUUGCACAAUGGGCGCAAGCCUGAUGCAGCGACGCCGCGUGAGGGAUGACGGCCUUCGGGUUGUAAACCUCUUUCAGUAGGGAAGAAGCGAAAGUGACGGUACCUGCAGAAGAAGCACCGGCUAACUACGUG
rnacentral:rRNA from 1 species